rnacentral:tRNA from 1 species
GGGAAUGUGGCUUAGUGGUAGAGUGCUUGCCUAACAUGCAGGAAGCCCUGGGUUCAAUUCCUCAGUACCA